AUAGAUGACUUGCAUGCUAAUCAGAGUAGAUUCAUAUAGAAGUAUUUAAGUAGUAAGUACCGAAGAAUCAUGAGAAUUAAGUGGCAAAACUCAUGCUGAAAAGGGUAGGUCUAGGCUCACCUUAGAUCUUUUUAAUGGUUUAAGUUGCAUACUGCAAGUUGGAUUGGGCACACCUCGAGUUCAAGUAGGUGGUGUGAACGGGGGUCCAUCUUUGAAGUGGCCCAGGUUGCCCAACAUCCAACGUAAUCUAUAUAGAUUUGACUCCAUCAUGGUGGGAAAUGAGCGGAAGGUGUCAUGUUUUGUCAAAAAAACAUAAAGCUGUCUCCAAGC
rnacentral:lncRNA from 1 species